rnacentral:tRNA from 1 species
AACCGUGAAACUGUCGGAAUGCGCUUUGCGCUUGCUCAGCGCGCAGAUGACUUCUAAGCGGCAGGUCGAAGGUUCGAGCCCUUCCGGGGUCGCCA